ensembl:antisense Gm26982 predicted gene, 26982
CUGCCUGGGAGGAGCACUGCUCACAGUGGGCUGGGCCUUUCCACAUCAAUCAUUAACCAGGAAAACGCCCACAGACUUACUUAACAAGAAGUCUGAUGGAAGCAUCUUCUCAGUCCUUCUAGGAGGAUUAUAGCUUAUGUCAAGUUGACAAAUACUAAGCACAGUGUACAUCUGUGUGUCUUGUUUCCAGGUUUGCCAAAGACCCCACAGCCACCUGGCCCUGUGUGCUAUGUUGUUUGAACAGGAUCCUGGGAUUUCUAAGCAAGUUAUAGCCUGGGGGCUUUGUUAGAGGGUUCUUUGGAGGAGGGCUGGAGUGGGUCUGAGCCGUAUUCUAAGGAAUUCCCAGAUAUAAUGGCAAGGAGCGCUGCGACUCCUCAGCAGUGUUGUGUUCCCAGUGCCUGCCAAGUGUGUCCUGCUCAUCUCAUGCCGUGGUCAAAGCUUCCCUUAGGAGGCCUGUGGCUUCUACUGCAGCAGUGUUGCUGUAGGUGGGCAACUUAUCCUUAUCUCUGGGAUCUUACUUUAGUUAUAGAUCCCAUCUAAUGUCACUGGACUUUGGGACAUGGUCUAAAGAUUUACACUAAGAUUUGCAUUAGUGUCUCAGCUGGAGUUACAGCUGUGAGAUUUGGGGAUAAAGGCUCAUGAGCUGCGCACUGGGAUGUGGGAAACGUUGUGGGGCAUCUUCCUGGGGUUAGGCAGUGGCCGACCUUGAGCACGUGGGACGUGUGUUUUGUCAGCCUUCUCCGGGAGUUGAUGGGUGGAGAAUGUGGUUACUCAGCCCCGUGGGUAUGGUCAAGAGCCAUUGCCAGGCACCCAUUCUGAUCACCCCAGACAGGUCUGGCUUUUUGGAAGUUCCUAGAAUAGCUCUUAAUUCCUCAGAAAGCUCUGCUCUGUGGUGAACUGUGUGUGUGGCCUCCAGCUACCUUUAGAUCCUUCUGUCAUAUGGUCGGAGCUCCUGCUGUUUUACUGCUGGGAUGAGCAAGGUUUCCCUUGGUUUUCAAGCAUGCUCACUGCCUUGCUGAGGCUUCUUUCCCCCUCUUCUCAUGGGUCAUAGUCAUACAAAGACUUACAGCAUUGUUUCAUUUCAUUGUUCCAAUAAUGUUUAAGUAAAAUGUAAACUUUACCAUAUAGAUGAAAUAAAUUCCAAUUUUGAA